GUGUUGGGAUUACAGGUGUGAGCCACUGGGCCUGGCCAGCUUAAUGCUUUUUGACAUGAGUGACUCCAUUCUGAGACAUCAGGCUCACAACUGUUAUGGUAGAUCUCUCCCUGGCGCUGUCCCAUCUCUCCGUCUGUCUCUGUCUGCUUCUCCCCGCAUGCCUCAUCCACCCUCUGUGCCCCCCACCUGCCCCCUGCCUCUGCCUCCUCUCCUCACGUCCUGUGCAGCCUGAGGCUCUGGCCUGUGAAGGGAGAAGGGCAGGGUGCUGGCAUCUACGGCUCCUCCCCAGGGACCAUCCCCUUCUCUCAUGCAUUCCCUCGGCCUAGCAGGGACUCCUCCUUCAAUUUCCACCAACCACCCCAGCUUUCAGAGUCUGGAAGCCUUGGAGGGUGGUGCCUCAGACGUUCCAAACCAGCCUACGCAGGCCUCAGGCUCCCAGGCAUCCCAGGCAGCCUUGGGGCCCAGAGAGGCAGGCGCCUGCUGAGGCAGCACAGCAAGGGGCGGGGAGCACACAGCCAGGCCCCCAGUCAGACCCUGUGCUCCCAGACGGCUCUUUUUCCCAGGCCAGAGGAAGUGCCCCGGGGCAACUAUCUCAACUGCCCUCUUCCCCAAAUAUGGCGCUUUCAACACCUGUUCUCAAUCCCAGAAAUUAUAAACUGAGAAAUGGCAGAGCUGCUAUUAGAACCCAGGUCUCCUGGCCCAGGCCCUGGUCUCUGUCCAGUUCCAGCAGACACAAGAGAGCUGCAUCGCAGCCCACAGGCUCGCGCCUCAGCCACGGCGAGUGGGGGGCAGUCAGGUGGGGACUGGAGUCCUGCCAGCAGCCUGUGUCCAGGGGCCCCUCAUCCUCCGCACAGCCCACGGCCUCCCCAGCCUUCGCCCCGUGGUCUUGCUGUUGAGGAAGUGUGUUGUAUGCACAGCUGCAGAGGGCAGCGCAGAGGGGCAUGGCAGUCGGUCACACAGGCAUGGGUGUGCGUGCAGAACCAGAGGACUCCUGGACUUGAAUGCCAAGGGGAUAGUGUCCUAAGACAGAGAGCCAAGAUGAAGGGCACACUCGAGAUGAAGGCCAAGGACAAGAUCGAAUCCAGGGUGAGAACAGCCACAUCACCUCUAGAGGAGGAGGAUCGAAUCCAACCCCAUCAGCCAAGACCGAAAGAGCAAAGACCUGCAGGCAGAGGAGAGAACACUGAACAGAGGGGCUCCGAGAGCAGAGGUGCCCAGGGGAAGCCUCGGACAAGGCUGGCAGCAGCAAUGCCCAGCAGAGAUGAAGGCCAGACCAAAGCCAAGGCUAAGCCAGGAAAGUGGCUGGCAUGCAGAAAUGCAAUUGAUUUGUGUGUGCUGAUCUGUGCCCAGCAAGUCGUCUGACCUCUCUGCCAGUUCUGAUACCUCGUCCCACGUCGUUCUCCUGCGGAACCUGACAGCCGCGGGGCGAAUUUAGGCCUUUCACGGUAGAGGAGGCUAAGAGCCAUCCUCCCACAACUGGCUGCAUGCUUGGUGGGUCUGCCAGCUCUGCUGGAAAGUUCUAGAACUCCCCAGUUUGUCUCUGCUUGUCUCAACCCGCCCCACGCGUUGCCAUGGCGCCCACCCUGCGACCCUCCUCGAGCUCCCCCUUUUUGGCUCAGCAGCAACUGUGCCUGGGCUCGGACUCCAGGGGCCUUCCCAAAUGUCUGCUCUGAGGAGGCUUCUGCCGUAGAAAAGAGGCCUGCUUAGACUGCGCGGUGCCCGCGACGAGGCACUGCUGACAGGCGCUGCCUUCAGGGGCAGGACAUGUCUUGAGCCAGCAGCCAACAGCCAGUGCGUGCAGUCCUGGGCGACGGUGGGAAAAGAAACCCACCAUGCAGUGGUUACGUCAGAGGCUCUACUGUGAAUGGAGAGAAACCUUGGCCCGAAACACUGAGCUGAAGGGAAAAGGUGAGCUGAGAACUCCGCAGGGCGCCUGCUCAAGGACAUAGGCGUGUAACUGCCUGCCUCCUUUGGGAGGGCUAAUCAGCAACUCAGGAGUGCAACCCUGGCUCUCACCUACUGCAGCCUGGAAGCCUCCUCCCGCCCCGGGUCUUCCUGCCUUGGCUGCGUGCCAUCCCAGAUGGAACGGACGUACUUCUUACGUGCAUUGCUUGAUGUCUCACGUCUCCUUAGAAUGUAUAGAGCCAAGCUGCGCCCCGACCACCUUGGCAAAUGUCGUCAGGACUUCCUGAGGCUGUGUCACCGGCGCGUCCUCAACCCUGGCAAAAUAAACCUUCUAAAUUAACUGGGACCUGUCUCGAAUCUUCGGGGUUCACACUACAAAGGGGCCGGGAGGACAGGCGGGGGUGGACCCUGGUCCCGUGCACACCCAUGGAACUCGAUCUGUGAAACCAGAUCCUAAGAACAGCUGCACCGGGUUCCAGCUCUGCACCGGGCCUGAUCACCAACCUCUUGGAGAGACAGUCGCACGGAGUAGGCUGGCCGUCCGCCAGGACCACCGCAAGCUGCUUACCCGCCACCAUCAGUCGUGGCUGUGCUGACACCUUCCAGAUGUGCAGGCGCACGGAAAACCCACCUCAGCCCAGCCCAACCGCAACUGGACGGAACUCAGUUUAGCUGCUCACUGAUCCCCUCUCCAAAAUCGCCAUUUCUAAGAUCCUGAUUA